rnacentral:rRNA from 1 species
GACAGAGGUGCCGAGCGUUAGGCGGAAUCACUGGGCGUAAAGCGCACGUAGGCGGAUUGUUAAGUCAGGGGUGAAAUCCUGGAGCUCAACUCCAGAACUGCCUUUGAUACUGGCGAUCUCGAGUCCGGGAGAGGUGAGUGGAACUGCGAGUGUAGAGGUGAAAUUCGUAGAUAUUCGCAAGAACACCAGUGGCGAAGGCGGCUCACUGGCCCGGUACUGACGCUGAGGUGCGAAAGCGUGGGGAGCAAACAGG